AAGACUUGUAAAUAGGAUUGCCCAACCGU
rnacentral:piRNA from 1 species